UCUACCCGAACCCGACGGGUACGGGUCGGGUUCGGGCUUGGAAAUUUUCAAAAAUUCGGGUUCGGGUCGGGUCCGGGUUUGAAAAAUUUCAAAAUUCUCGGGUACGGGUCGGGUCGGGUUCGAAUAACGUCGGGUGAAAGCCGGGUUUUAUGCCAGUGUACAUAAAUUAGUAUUUAGAAAAGCAUUCUAUUUAACAUAAACGACACUUUCAACAAUUAUUUUUGGACUCGGGUUUUGGUCGGGUUCAUUGAGAGAUAUUUUUUCGGGUUCGGGUCGGGUUCGGGUUUCAUUGACGAAAUUUUUUCGGGUCCGGGUCGGGUCCGGGUUUGACGAAAAAAAUUUUUUCGGGUUCGGGUCGGGUCCGGGUUUCGAAAUCUGAAAUUGUUCGGGUACGGGUCGGGUUCGGGUCUGAGAAAUCUGAAACCCGACCAUCUCUAUUGAUCUUCGGGGAUCGGACCCUUCACUUUUGUGAACAAAACUCCUACAGAUUUCCAGUUGUAUGUUGCAAGUCGUAUGUUUUUGUAGUUUUUCUGGGUUUCUUGCAACAUACAACUGGAAAUCUGUAGGAGUUUUGUUCACAAAAGUGAAGGAUCCGAUCCCCGAAGAUCAACAGACCGAUGUCAUCUACUCCUUCUCAUGCAACGACUGCUCUGCCUGCUACACAGAGUUGAUGUACACGUGCUGCAGUCCCGUGUACGGGAGCCACAUGACAAGGUAGCUCCCAGGAGCACUGUACAUUUUGAGACUGAAAGUUGUGCGCCUCAUUUUUCUCAAGAUGUGUCUCAUGAGCUUCGUCUCAUGCGCUGAUUAAAUUAGAAAAUUUCACGACAAAAACUUCCUAAACGAACGAGAAUUGAAACCUUAACCUUUGCAUUGAGAGUCCCUAGUCGUAUCACAUAGACCAACCAGGCACUUGAGUUGUGUACGGAAAAAGUUGUUGAGCUUCUUCGUCACCAAGAAGUUGUUUUUCACCUUAGAUACCAACAGCUCACGCAGCGCAUGAGACGAACUCCCCGGGAGAUAUGAGCUUAGCUCGCACCCACCAGAUUUUCGUGAGCCUCCUAGCAGCGCAGCACACUGCGAUUUUGAAGAGCUGGGAGACAAUUUGGUGGGAAGCUCGCUGUCACAUUUUUGUACACAUGAGCAAUGGGAAACUCUGCUGCUACAUAGGCAUGACGACAAACAGGCUCAAAACAAGGAUCAGCGGCCACAAAACACACUACAACCUGCUAGACAGACUACAGCAAACAGGAGUCAACAUAACGGAUCCACAAAUCAUCCAGCUCCAGCAGAAAACAGCCCUAAUGGAACACACGAUCGUCGAGAGCCACCGAUUCAACCUAGAAAACACGAAAAUUUUAGACAAAACAAACAAAUCACACACACUCCCAUAUUUGGAAAUGUGUCACAUCGUGAACAACAGCAACUGCAUCAACCGAAGAACAGACACAGAGGGUUUAAAUGCAAUAUACGCAGGAAUACUUCACAAGCUAGGAACGAAAAAACAGAAAAACACAGAAAAUGUAAACACACACGGAAUCACAACAAACACGGAUAAUACACAUACACACAACAUAAUCGAAACACCACUCACACAAGAUUGAAAACGUCAAUAUCAGUCCCGAAAGCGUAGAAUGCAGGUGCAAGAAAAAAGCGAAGGCAGAAAGAAACCACAGAAGCGAUAAAAAACAAGCUUUGUGCGAUUAAGCUGCUAUAAAGUUGCGAAACACAGUGUCGGGCGUAAAAAUCGACACACAUGCAGCACCAAAGACGCCAUUACAAACCAUCUACAGACACAAUACAGACAACCAAAUGUAGGCCACUACACAUGUUUACAAAAAUACAAACUCCUGUAAGUAGGGAAAAAUGGGGCACAUUGAGGGAAAGAAUCGGAAAUCAAUGUAUAUUCAAACACCUAAUUUUUAGAUCCCCUGAAGAAGGUUCAAUAAAGAACCGAAACGUCGGACGUACGAGAUAAAACUGUGUUUGCUAACCACUCAGACAGCUAUUGCCGAAAAAUUAUCUCGCUCAUCGAAAGUUUCAGUCGUAAACGAUAGUCAUAUCUCUGAAGAGAUUCCUCCCGAAUCUCUGGAGAUUUUGCUCCAGAGUCUCCGGGGAGAUCUCACCUGGAACUCAGGAGAUUUUUUUCACAAUAUCUGUAGAAGUUCUUCCAAAAUCUCUGGAUAGAUUCAUUCACCUCGCAUCUUUGGAGAGAUUUUACCAGAGGGAUUCCUCUGAAAUCCUUGCAAUGUACCAUCGGGGUUGAUUCCUGGUAUUGAUUCCUCAAUAAUUUCAUAAGGGUUUUGUUUCAGAAUGUUUGGAGAAUUUCCCUUGAAAUUUUUGAAGAGGGUUCAACAGAAGCUCAACAGAGAUGUUAAGAUUUCCUGUGGAGUUUUUGAGAACCAACCAGAAUCUAGUUCCAGUAACCUAAUGCCGGAACCCCUGGAAGUAAAUUUAAUCCGCUUCGAUCAAGAGCAAACGUGCAUUCACAACAAAAAUGCGACUUGCCAAUAACCUCGAACUCCAGUGCAGAAUUUUCCCCAACGCGGAAGUAAUCGAAAAAUUCGUCAUCAUUUGCGACUAAUGACAUUCACGAGCGUUGGGCACACUGAUAAGCCACUCCACCCAGCUGAUACCACUCACCCAGCCUAGCAACGGGCGGGCAUCUCGAGUGGCUCAGCAGAACCGCCCGAGGUUUGCCUAAUCCCCGCGCCGGUAGACGCCUGCUGCAUCGUUCGCGGAGGGCACGCGCGCGCAUCCAGCUUUUGUUUGGAUUACUUACCACCGACGACGGACGGCCAUCAUUGCAUUGGCGAGGUGUUUUGUUUGACUUUCGCUGUUUACUUAGCUGUGCUACUUAGGAGGAUGGAAUAGAAAUUGCAAUUUCAAACGAUGAGUACGAGUGGCGGCUGUCUGGGCAGCGCCUGGCCUGUGCAUACAAUGUUAAACAUUUGCAAUGACGACGACGCAACAACGCCGGCUGAUAAGGCCGAUGCCACUCGUCCCAUCUCAGCUCGGACUAUUAUAGGAAGUGUGAAGUGUGUGGGAUUUGCUGCAAUGUGUAGCUCAAUCAACACUGUAAAUGUUGUACAAUUUCUGAUGGGUGUCGUUUUGCUAGUCUGACCUUCGAGGAGUGGAAAUGUAGAUCUUCGAACCCAUUCAGAGUGACACUGCUCAACUAGGGCACUUCCGCCGGCCGGAGGAAGACUUGUGCGUGCAACCGACCAAUCUUGGAGUUCUGUCUCACGGUGCGACUCUAGGACCAGAACAGGCCCCAAGUGGCCUAGCCUGGAAGAACAACAAUUUAACGAUAAGUGACAGCUAAAUGAUUGCUUUCCGUUCCCACUACUACCCGGUUCUGGCUGGACUACCUUGACGCGUAGUGCUCGCACCUAGCUUUUUCUUCCAUCGGUGCAGAGGAAGCCAAUCUCUAGGCCACCACUACACUUCGUCCAUUGUCUCUAAUUAAGCAAUCCAGGCCGAUCGUCCAGGCAGGGAACUACGCUCCGAGCCGAGACAAUGACUGGUCCUCACGCGAUCAAUUGCAUUGAAGCGAAUUUUAAUUUUACAUUUUAUUAAUUCAAUCACACCAACCAGAGCAGGCACGACAUCAGGCAGAACAGCACGGCUCAACCGAAUCGCCGGAACACACAUGCUUGACAGACAUGCCCAUACGUUCGACCGGAGACGACGACGAUGGAACUUUGUGCAGCGAGGAUGGAGGGAAGCAACAGUUCUUGGCACGCGUUUCCUUGAGCUGGAAAGGCGUCGUCCAAAAGUUUUCUUCAAGAGAAUCCCACAGGUGGGCUGCUGGCUCAGAGCCAGAGUUGAUGGCGACAAAGUUUGUGGCCCAGCCAUAAGCAACAAAGCAGAUAUUCUCCUCCGUCGAGUGGUGUGUAACCGACGUCAUUCGCACUUGCCCUGUUCUUUGCUGUCGUUCCGAAUGGCAUGAUUUGGAACAAUGAGAGCAAAAUAAGUUAUUACCGGGUAUGGUGCCAUUCAUGCACUGAAUAAGUAACAUUAAGUGCUCGAAAUAUAACGAUAGUGAAAUGUUUGUACGUAC